AUGGCAAAAAGACCAAAAAAAAAAAAAAAUACCUUUAGCUUACAUUUAUGGCUGACGUUAUAUUUCUAUUGAUCAGUGUUGCACUAGAUAUUUACUGCAGUUACCUGAAUUCUUAUUCUUUCGCCUCAUUCCAACCUGCACAGGAAUAAUGGUAAACUUGUCCUUACUGCUUGCUAUGGCUUUAGCAGUAUAAGACCAAUGCAUGUCAAUGCUGUCUGUGUUCAUCUUCCGUUCUCCAGAAAUCUGAUUAACAAGAGGAGUCCUGUGCUACCCACACUGAAAAGUGCACACAGACAGAGGGGCACAUGAUGCGUGAGCCCGGGCAGCAACAAAAGCCCGCGAUGAGUACAACACCCCAGAGGCAAUAAGAUGAAAGGAACAUGGGUUGCUAAUAACCUGGAGGAGCAAGGGUGUUUACCUAGCCUGGACUGGUCGACGACAUAUUUAUAAGCAACACCCUUGUCGAAUUCAGUUAAGGGCUGAACUGCAUCCCCACAAAAUUCAUAUGUUGAAGUCCUAGCCCCCAGAACUUCAGAGUGUGACAUAUUUGGAGACAGUGCCUUUUAAGAGGUAAGUGAGAUAAGAUGAGGUCAUGUACCAUUUGGGUAGGCUCAAAUCCAGUAUGACUAGUAUCCUUAUAAGAAGAAGAA